rnacentral:rRNA from 1 species
GAUGAACGCUGGCGGCGUGCCUAAUACAUGCAAGUCGAGCGAACAGACGAGGAGCUUGCUCCUCUGACGUUAGCGGCGGACGGGUGAGUAACACGUGGAUAACCUACCUAUAAGACUGGGAUAACUUCGGGAAACCGGAGCUAAUACCGGAUAAUAUAUUGAACCGCAUGGUUCAAUAGUGAAAGACGGUUUUGCUGUCACUUAUAGAUGGAUCCGCGCCGCAUUAGCUAGUUGGUAAGGUAACGGCUUACCAAGGCGACGAUGCGUAGCCGACCUGAGAGGGUGAUCGGCCACCCUGGAACUGAGACACGGUCCAGACUCCUACGGGAGGCAGCAGUAGGGAAUCUUCCGCAAUGGGCGAAAGCCUGACGGAGCAACGCCGCGUAAGUGAUGAAGGUCUUCGGAUCGUAAAACUCUGUUAUUAGGGAAGAACAAAUGUGUAAGUAACUAUGCACGUCUUGACGGUACCUAAUCAGAAAGCCACGGCUAACUACGUG